rnacentral:rRNA from 1 species
GUGAGGAAUUUUCCGCAAUGGGCGAAAGCCUGACGGAGCAAUGCCGCGUGAAGGAUGAAGGCCUAUGGGUUGUAAACUUCUUUUCUUAGAGAAGAAUAUUGACGGUAUCUGAGGAACAAGCAUCGGCUAACUCUGUGCCAGCAGCCGCGGUAAGACAGAGGAUGCAAGCGUUAUCCGGAAUGAUUGGGCGUAAAGCGUCUGUAGGUGGCUUCAAAAGUCUCCUGUCAAAGAUCAGGGCUUAACCCUGGGCCGGCAGGAGAAACUCUGAGGCUAGAGUUUGGUAGGGGCAGAGGGAAUUACCGGUGGAGCGGUGAAAUGCGUAGAGAUCGGGAGGAACACCAAAGGCGAAAGCACUCUGCUGGGCCACAACUGACACUGAGAGACGAAAGCGAGGGGAGCAAAAGGGAUUAGAAACCCGUGUAGUCC